GGGGAUAUAGCUCAGUUGGUAGAGUGCUUGCCUAGCAUGUACAAGGCCCUGGGUUCAAUCCCCAGUCCCA
rnacentral:tRNA from 1 species